UUGAACGCUGGCGGCAGGCCUAACACAUGCAAGUCGAACGGUAACAGGAAGAAGCUUGCUUCUUUGCUGACGAGUGGCGGAUGGGUGAGUAAUGUCUGGGAAACUGCCUGAUGGAGGGGGAUAACUACUGGAAACGGUAGCUAAUACCGCAUAACGUCGCAAGACCAAAGAGGGGGACCUUCGGGCCUCUUGCCAUCGGAUGUGCCCAGAUGGGAUUAGCUAGUAGGUGGGGUAACGGCUCACCUAGGCGACGAUCCCUAGCUGGUCUGAGAGGAUGACCAGCCACACUGGAACUGAGACACGGUCCAGACUCCUACGGGAGGCAGCAGUGGGGAAUAUUGCACAAUGGGCGCAAGCCUGAUGCAGCCAUGCCGCGUGUAUGAAGAAGGCCUUCGGGUUGUAAAGUACUUUCAGCGGGGAGGAAGGGAGUAAAGUUAAUACCUUUGCUCAUUGACGUUACCCGCAGAAGAAGCACCGGCUAACUCCGUG
rnacentral:rRNA from 1 species